rnacentral:rRNA from 1 species
GCGAACGCUGGCGGCAGGCCUAACACAUGCAAGUCGAGCGCCCCGCAAGGGGAGCGGCAGACGGGAGAGUAACACGUGGGAACGUACCCUUUGGUUCGGAACAACCCAGGGAAACUUGGGCUAAUACCGGAUAAGCCCUUACGGGGAAAGAUUCAUCGCCGAAGGAUCGGCCCGCGUCUGAUUAGCUAGUUGGUGGGGUAACGGCCCACCAAGGCGACGAUCAGUAGCUGGUCUGAGAGGAUGAUCAGCCUCACUGGGACUGAGACACGGCCCAGACUCCUACGGGAGGCAGCAGUGGGGAAUAUUGGACAAUGGGCGCAAGCCUGAUCCAGCCAUGCCGCGUGGGUGAUGAAGGCCCUAGGGUUGUAAAGCCCUUUCGGCGGGGAAGAUAAUGACGGUACCCGCAGAAGAAGCCCCGGCUAACUUCGU